rnacentral:rRNA from 1 species
GCCUACGGGAGGCAGCAGUGGGGAAUAUUGCACAAUGGGCGCAAGCCUGAUCCAGCAAUGCCGCGUGCAGGAUGAAGGCCUUCGGUUGUAACUGCUUUUGUACGGAACGAAAAGGU